rfam:Monodelphis domestica chrTn_v05.000525 genomic scaffold, whole genome shotgun sequence.
GGCUGGGUAGCUCAGUGGAUUGAGAGCCAAGCCUAGAGGUGGAAGGUCCUGGUUCGAAUCCGGCUUCAGCCA